rnacentral:rRNA from 1 species
GAUGAACGCUGGCGGCGUGCCUAAUACAUGCAAGUCGAGCGAACAGACGAGGAUCUUGCUCCUCUGACGUUAGCGGCGGACGGGUGAGUAACACGUGGAUAACCUACCUAUAAGACUGGGAUAACUUCGGGAAACCGGAUCUAAUACCGGAUAAUAUAUUGAACCGCAUGGUUCAAUAGUGGAAGACGGUUUUGCUGUCACUUAUAGAUGGAUCCGCGCCGCAUUAGCUAGUUGGUAAGGUAACGGCUUACCAAGGCGACGAUGCGUAGCCGACCUGAGAGGGUGAUCGGCCACACUGGAACUGAGACACGGUCCAGACUCCUACGGGAGGCAGCAGUGGGGAAUAUUCCGCAAUGGGCGAAAGCCUGACCGAGCAACGCCGCGUGAGUGAUGAAGGUCUUCGGAUCGUAAAGCUCUGUAAUUAGGGAGGAAGAAAUGUGUAAGUAAAUAUGCACGUCUUGACGGUACCUAAACAGAAAGCACCGGCUAACUACGUG